rnacentral:rRNA from 1 species
AUUGAACGCUGGCGGCAGGCUUAACACAUGCAAGUCGAGCGGGGUGAUGGUGCUUGCACAAUCACUUAGCGGCGGACGGGUGAGUAAUGCUUAGGAAUCUGCCUAUUAGUGGGGGACAACAUCUCGAAAGGGAUGCUAAUACCGCAUACGUCCUACGGGAGAAAGCAGGGGAUCACUUGUGACCUUGCGCUAAUAGAUGAGCCUAAGUCGGAUUAGCUAGUUGGUGGGGUAAAGGCCUACCAAGGCGACGAUCUGUAGCGGGUCUGAGAGGAUGAUCCGCCACACUGAACUGAGACACGGCCCAGACUCCUACGGGAGGCAGCAGUGGGGAAUAUUGGACAAUGGGGGGAACCCUGAUCCAGCCAUGCCGCGUGUGUGAAGAAGGCCUUAUGGUUGUAAAGCACUUUAAGCGAGGAGGAGGCUCUUUCGGUUAAUACCCAAGAUGAGUGGACGUUACUCGCAGAAUAAGCACCGGCUAACUCUGUGCCAGCAGCCGCCGCCG